AACGUGAGUGGCAAGCGUUAUCCGGAAUUACUGGGCGUAAAGGGCGUGUAGGUGGUACUACAAGUCAUAGGUAAAAACACUGAGCUUAACUCAGCUGAAGCCUAUGAAACUAUAGAACUAGAGUAUAGGAUAGGAAGAUGGAAUUAUUACUGUAGCGGUGGAAUGCGUAGAUAGUAAUAGGAAGGCCGACGACGAAGGUAAUCUUCUGGACUAAUACUGACACUGAGGCGCGAAAGCUAGGGGAGCAAAC
rnacentral:rRNA from 1 species